GUUUUCCUUCCCAUAAAAGAUUAAACUCAACCAUUGUUCAUUUCAUAACAACCAUUGCCAAGAGAAAGUAAGGACCAGACUUGCUGGACCUCUAACUGCCUAGAGAAGCAGGAGCCUGACUGAAGAAUGACCCCAGUGGCUGAGCCCUGCAAAACUCUCCUGUGUUUUCUUGAGGCCAAGUUCCCUAUACAGUGCUUGCGACCUAUGAUGGAGCACAUUGAGGAUAUUAAAGCCAAUCCACUCCUGAGACCUGUGGAGCUGUCCAAAGACUCUGGAACAUUGUGUGUCUAAGACUGAGGGCAAAGGAUCUGGCAGUGGCAUUCAGGCUGAAGGUGUGAAGGCAAGAGGGAAGAUGAGAAGGGAAGAGGGAGAGAGAAGAAAACUGAACUUAUUCUUUUAUAAGUAACCUUCUCCCACAAUAAAGGUUGAAUCCAUU